CCCUAUUAUUUUAGAAUGUUAAUUUUUGUGCCUGAGUAGUAUUAGUUAUGUUCUUGAAACUUAAAGAAUUUGGCGGUAUCUCAUUCCGUCCAGAGGAAUCUGUCCCGUUAUCGAUAGUCCACGUUGGACCUUACUUAUUUGAUUUAUGGUUUGUAUACCGCCGUUUAUUGAUUAUCUUUUUAGAGGUUACUUAAUUUUCUGGUUUCUUUAUUUUGAUGUAUUUCAGGUCAAGGUGCAGCUUGUUUUUAAGUGGAAUGAUGGAUUACAUUGUUAUUUGUUUAUGGAUUGUUGAUUUUAAUAUUGGCAUGAAAUUGGAUUUGGUUGUAAUAAUUUGUAGAUUGUUAUUAUGAUAAUUGGUUCUGAGAUAUGCACACAUCGCCCGUCGCUCUCGUUUGUUUAUUAUGAUGAGAUAAGUC
rnacentral:rRNA from 1 species